rnacentral:rRNA from 1 species
GAUGAACGCUGGCGGCGUGCUUAACACAUGCAAGUCGAGCGAAGCAUUUUAAAGGAAGUUUUCGGAUGGAAUUUAAGAUGACUUAGCGGCGGACGGGUGAGUAACGCGUGGGUAACCUGCCUCAUACAGGGGGAUAACAGUUAGAAAUGACUGCUAAUACCGCAUAAGCGCACAGUGCUGCAUAGUACAGUGUGAAAAACUCCGGUGGUAUGAGAUGGACCCGCGUCUGAUUAGGUAGUUGGUGAGGUAACGGCCCACCAAGCCGACGAUCAGUAGCCGACCUGAGAGGGUGACCGGCCACAUUGGGACUGAGACACGGCCCAAACUCCUACGGGAGGCAGCAGUGGGGAAUAUUGGACAAUGGGGGAAACCCUGAUCCAGCGACGCCGCGUGAGUGAAGAAGUAUUUCGGUAUGUAAAGCUCUAUCAGCAGGGAAGAAAAUGACGGUACCUGACUAAGAAGCCCCGGCUAACUACGUGCCAGCAGCCGCAGUAA